AGCUUUGCGCAGUGGCAUAUCAUAACCAAUGAAGUUAAUCGAGGUGUGAUUAUUGCUAGUUGAAAUCCGCUCCUCCCCCCUUCCUGGUGGUAGAUGGUACAGUACUACUGUAGACAGCAAGAAACUGUUACCGUCUCAUCUCUUUUGUUACACUCAUCGUAAAUGGACAGAACGGAUAAUAACUCUGUGAAAAUUUUUGAAAG
rnacentral:snRNA from 1 species